UCCCCUACAACUGUUCUGGGA
rnacentral:piRNA from 1 species